CCACCACACCCCAAAACCAGCCAGGACUUUAUGUGCCACAUCCAGGACCAGAAGUGAACGGGACUUGUCAUUUCGGAGAGCUAGAAGACUGUCAGCAGGAGAGGACUUUCAUCAAGGGGUCCAUCGCAUGUGACUACCAUGGAAUAUUCACUAUUGCUGCCGAGGCUGGCGGCUUGCGGGGUCCCUGAAGGCGGGACAAGAUGCAUAGAUUUACUUUUUCCAAGUCUGGGGACCAAGGACUUCUGCAUAAACUCUCAGGUCCACCUGUGUGAUAGUCAUCCGCAGCUCGCCAUCUUUGGGUGACCGAUAAACCUUUCUGCCAAAAACUUCAACACUGUUAGUAAAGUUCCCAGGCCUGGCAGACCCAUUUCUCCUAAUAAAAACAACAAGAGACAUCAAGCCAGGAGAGGAGAUCUACAUGGACCAUGGGGUGAGGCAGUACUCGUUUAGGGUUGGAAGGCCAGGGAUGAUCUUAGCUGGAUGGGUGAGGUUGGCUCACCUCCCCCCAAGAGAAAUAGUUUAGUCUUAUGUUGACAAUGUUCUAUUCAAUAAUUUAUCAGUUAAAAUUUUUAUUUUAAUUUGACUGUGGUGUUGUAGUAAAAAGUUCAGUGUUUGAAGUUUUAGUGUUGUAAUUGCUCUUUUGUGUGUACUCCAAAGUUCAGUAUGACUUUAAAUUGUGUUGUUGCAAUUAAAGUUUUUGUUUUGUCUUGUG